ACACCGGCAGCCCAAGUGGUGGCCAUUUUUAUUGGGCCUGAAGCGUUCGUAGCCGGCCUGAUAAGUCUCUGGUGAAAUCCCGCAGCUUAACUGUGGGAAUUGCUGGAGAUACUAUCAGGCUUGAGGUCGGGAGAGGUUAGAGGUACUCCCAGGGUAGGGGUGAAAUCCUAUAAUCCUGGGAGGACCACCUGUGGCGAAGGCGUCUAACUGGAACGAACCUGACGGUGAGUAACGAAAGCCAGGGGCGCGAACCGGAUUAGAUACCCGGGUAGUCCUGGCCGUAAACGAUGUGGACUUGGUGUUGGGAUGGCCUCGAGCGGCCCCAGUGCCGAAGGGAAGCUGUUAAGUCCACCGCCUGGGAAGUACGGCCGCAAGGCUGAAACUUAAAGGAAUUGACGGGG
rnacentral:rRNA from 1 species